CGAAGCCCCAGGAAGAGGUAGAAUGUACAGUAUUUUAUGAAAUUUGACCAGGUGUGUUGCUGCUGUUCGUGUUCUUUUCAGCUGAAGGGACUGAAGUUCUAGAACCUUCUUUGGGAAGUGGUACGCACAUGCUGGGAGGAAGGCAGAGGUGCAGGUGCCAGUGUGUGCCCCGUGGCUGUGUCCGAAUGGGGCUUACACUUCUUUAUGUUCUUCGUGCUUGUCUGUAUUUUCUAUAAUAUGCAUUUUGUAAGUUAAAAGAAGCACAACCAAAAGACAAAAGUAUAAAAAAAAGUCUGGAAUUUUUCAAAUUGGGGUCCUCCUCACUUCUUUUUAAGCAUUUCUAAUUUGUUUUCAACCUGCUAGGCUCAGCUUUAUUGGCAAUGUUUUUUUAUUUUGAAAAUUAGUUGUAAAUGAACGUUUCCAACCAACGCCUCGUGUGAUUUUUUUUUUUUUUUUUUUAACCAAUUCAUCAUCUUGGCCAAAUAGUCUGGACCAAAUCAAGCAGGGGGAUGUGAGGAGGGACAUGGAGGGCAGGUAAGAGAGAGAAUAGGUGGGGAAAAAGAGAUGGAGUGAGGCAAGAUAAGGCAAAGACCCGAGAGGUGAGUUGGAGUGGGAAGAAGAGAGCAAGCGAGAACGCAGAGACCGUGCAACAAACCAGAGAAGCAGGAUGAGGAGGAGGGGCAUUCACCAAGCACUCAUCCAGCCCUUCCCAUGGACCAAGCGCCAGGUGAAUGGGGCCAGGACGCUUGCCUUCGCAGGAAAAGGGGAGGAAAAUGCUGUGAAGCUAAGAAGAGGACCUGCCCCCUGAAAAACUGAGCUGGAGAUACCUGCUCCUUCUCCCCCUGCCCAGUUCUCACUGACCCUUUCUGCUGCACAUGGCCCAGGGAGGAUGCGAUAGAAGCAGGACGAGGGCACAGCGGCCACCUCCUCGUCCUGCCCAGAGGCGCCCUGGCCAGCAGCUUGUGACAGAUGGCAGUGCUUUGAAUGACUACUUCAAUUUUAACUCUUUUCGAUAAUCCAGCACCCAAAAGCCACAUACUUUAAAACUGUCCCUGGAUCAUAGAUCAGCCCAAAGAGACUAAGUCCAGCUCAGUUAAUAACCUCUGGAAACACCAUCAAUCACUGGGGGAGCCCCUCCUUAGGGCUCUCCAUACCAACUCCUGGCAGAGAUGAAUGAAAGGGCCACUAUGCUUGGCAGUGGCUCUGCCUCUUGGGCUGUUUGCAUCUCACCUUCUUGCUCUAGAACUGGGACUUUUUGGUGCUGACUCCAGGGUGGAGAUAGGAGUCAGGCUGGUGGGCAGAAGCAACUGAGUGACUGUGGCUUGGAGAGAGGAGGUUGAUGUCUCUCCCUGCCCUGCUCAAAGAACCCCCCUCCCCUGCUUCUUCCUGACCUCUUGUGGUCUGAUGGACUCUGUGGCCUCAGG
rnacentral:lncRNA from 1 species